rnacentral:lncRNA from 1 species
AUAAAUGAAAUUAAUUUAAGAAUAUUAUUGCCAAGAUAUUAUUGUAAAAGUACAUAAAAUUUAAGGAAAAAUGUAACGUAUUUAAUAUCAAGGUAUAUUGAGGUAUUUUUUAAAAUAUAAUAACUAAACGAGCAUUGAAGUUAAAAUAUAGGUACCAGACGAACAUUUUCUCUUUUAGAAAGUUUUAUAUUUUAUUAAUGAAAGUCUGAAUAACAAAAUUAAGGUUUUGGACUUCUUUUAAACUAAACUUAAAUAUAACAAAUUUACCAAAAUAACUAAACCUAACAUAUUACUACAUAAUAACAUUCUCCUAACUGAAAUAAGAUAAAUGUUACUCAAAUUCUAUAUCUAGAAAAAAAAAAGAUAAAAAUCCUAAAAACAAUAGGAAAAUAGAUCUUAAACUUGUAAAAUAAUAUGAAAUAAAUAUAAUUUUCAAUCGAACCACGAGACUAAUGCGGCGCUACAGUAUUAGAUUAGUUUCCCCUCGUCGCGAACUUCGAAAUGUAUAUUAUACACCCUAAAUAGAUACUUAUAGCUCAAGUUGUUACCCUAGAGAGAUACUCCACUCAUCCUACGCAACCUAGAGAGAUACUCCACUCAUCCUACGCAACCAUCCGCUGCAUCAAAUUCGUUCCAAAAUUAAGAAUAAACCAGCUGAUGCAUUCCAAAUAAUUUAGAUGAAACGAUAAAAUAAACCUAGAGAUCAAAUAACAUGAAAUGAAAAAGAUAAUUACCUUGGACUGAAGCUCAUACAAAUUCAUUAUUUGACACCUGCGGCAAUUGUUGAAAUAAUAGUUAAUGAAAUAUAAAAUAAGACAAGUACAUAUUAAUGAAACACCACUGUGAAUCGAUAGCUAAGGACGGAGUAAAAUUUAAUUGUAAAUUAGGACAGUAGAGCAAGCAUCCAUAAACAUAACAUGAACGUAAUACAUCAAUUGAAAUAUCAUAGGAUAAAUUGGGACAUCAGAGAAAGAAAUAAGUAAAUAAAUCAGCAAAGGAAACAUGCAUAAACAAAUAAAAAAACAAAGACAAAAUAAGGAAGAGUUUGUGAUAAUUUUCUUCUAUGGUCAUUGAAGUCCAAAAACUAAUAAGGAUCGAGCAAUUGAACGGUUGCAAACUCAAUGGAAAUACAAUGGAACCUUAAAAAUGAACAGUGAAGGAAAAUGAAGAAAUCUGCAGGAAAUAAGACGAGUGAGAGUGAAGAAUUAAUUACCACUGAGUAAAUGCGAAUGAAGAAUGGAGACAGAUCCUUCUUCGCCCCAUUGAGAAGUGAGAUUCAUAGAUUGCAUUGAAAUUGAGAGUUGAGAUCAAGAAGCGAUUCUUCUUCUCCGUAAUUUCCUUUUUCUUUUAAUGUUGUUAUUAUUAUUAUUAUUUUUUUUUUUCAAUUUCAUGAUAUCUUUUUUGUUUUAAACAGUAUUGGCAUAUUACAUUUAUUUAUGUUAAUUUUACAAUACCUCCCUUCAGAUUGCACAAAUUACAUUAAAAAAAAAAGUGCUUUAUGUAUAAAACUUUCAAACAAAUUGGGCCAAAAUCUAACUUUACCAAGUUUAGAGUAAUUUUGGGCUCGACAUUCCAUUUCCGACAAACGAUUUUUCUUGGCGUUUGAUUUUUCUUUAUACUUUUCAUAUUUAUCCAACGGCUCGUCAAUGACAAUACCUUUGUAAAAAGUACUUAUUUUGAAUAUUAUAUUGUGGAAAUGUCUGGUCGGUAAUACAACUAUUUCUUAUAGUGUAAAACUGAUACACUAGCGUUCACAUUUUGAUGAGUAAAUUAAGGAUUUCAAGAUGAAGUACAUAAUUAGAUUAAUGCUAAGAAACUGAAGUUUGAUCGAUUGAAAAUGAAAAUAAUAAUGAAGGUAAUUAAGAAAAUGAACAAUAUAUGCAGAAGCGGUCCUAUUAGGACUUCUAGAUUUUCUCUUGGGCUUUCCUUAUUAUUGUUAAAAAAUGACACGAAGAACUUUGAGUUUAAAAAUCUGGCCCUGAUGCCUGGUAGCCCUCCAUGAAGCACCAGAUGUUUUGAUGAGAAAUGACAAGACCAUUUAUCAAAUUUCUUGUGGAUAUAAAUACAUACACAUAGACGAGACCAACCUCCUCAAAUGAGAAUCAGAGUGAUUAAAAGACCUUGCAAUGAGACAAUGAUACACCAUCAAAUGUCAAAAUACAAUAGAAAUUCACGACAUAUAUAUAAUAAAAGACCUCUCAUUGAGUCAUAUAUAUUGAGAAUAAAAAUGUUAUAAUACAUACACAGAGCUUAGCUAGAAUAAAAUGUCUUUGAACUUGCGAUGAUCAAACAAAGGAAACAGACAGGUUGUAACUCACACUAUCACAAGAAGAUCACGAAGAUGGAAAUGGGAACCCAUCAGAAUGGAAACUUUGAAUAGAUGAAAAAAGAAAAACGACCUUAUUCACAGAAGAAGAGUGACUUAAAUCUUCAUCAGUAUCCAGACAUUUUGCAAUCAUAGAGUAGAGAAAUUUUAACAGGAACAGCAGAGAAAAUAUUAUGAAUAUGCUAUAGACCAAUAU